rnacentral:rRNA from 1 species
AGAGUUUGAUCCUGGCUCAGGAUGAACGCUGGCGGCGUGCUUAACACAUGCAAGUCGAACGAUGAUCCCAGCUUGCUGGGGGAUUAGUGGCGAACGGGUGAGUAACACGUGAGUAACCUGCCCUUAACUCUGGGAUAAGCCUGGGAAACUGGGUCUAAUACCGGAUAUGACUCCUCAUCGCAUGGUGGGGGGUGGAAAGCUUUAUUGUGGUUUUGGAUGGACUCGCGGCCUAUCAGCUUGUUGGUGAGGUAAUGGCUCACCAAGGCGACGACGGGUAGCCGGCCUGAGAGGGUGACCGGCCACACUGGGACUGAGACACGGCCCAGACUCCUACGGGAGGCAGCAGUGGGGAAUAUUGCACAAUGGGCGAAAGCCUGAUGCAGCGACGCCGCGUGAGGGAUGACGGCCUUCGGGUUGUAAACCUCUUUCAGUAGGGAAGAAGCGAAAGUGACGGUACCUGCAGAAGAAGCGCCGGCUAACUACGUGCCAGCAGCCGCGGUAAUACGUAGGGCGCAAGCGUUAUCCGGAAUUAUUGGGCGUAAAGAGCUCGUAGGCGGUUUGUCGCGUCUGCCGUGAAAGUCCGGGGCUCAACUCCGGAUCUGCGGUGGGUACGGGCAGACUAGAGUGAUGUAGGGGAGACUGGAAUUCCUGGUGUAGCGGUGAAAUGCGCAGAUAUCAGGAGGAACACCGAUGGCGAAGGCAGGUCUCUGGGCAUUAACUGACGCUGAGGAGCGAAAGCAUGGGGAGCGAACAGGAUUAGAUACCCUGGUAGUCCAUGCCGUAAACGUUGGGCACUAGGUGUGGGGGACAUUCCACGUUUUCCGCGCCGUAGCUAACGCAUUAAGUGCCCCGCCUGGGGAGUACGGCCGCAAGGCUAAAACUCAAAGGAAUUGACGGGGGCCCGCACAAGCGGCGGAGCAUGCGGAUUAAUUCGAUGCAACGCGAAGAACCUUACCAAGGCUUGACAUGAACCGGAAACACCUGGAAACAGGUGCCCCGCUUGCGGUCGGUUUACAGGUGGUGCAUGGUUGUCGUCAGCUCGUGUCGUGAGAUGUUGGGUUAAGUCCCGCAACGAGCGCAACCCUCGUUCUAUGUUGCCAGCGCGUUAUGGCGGGGACUCAUAGGAGACUGCCGGGGUCAACUCGGAGGAAGGUGGGGACGACGUCAAAUCAUCAUGCCCCUUAUGUCUUGGGCUUCACGCAUGCUACAAUGGCCGGUACAAAGGGUUGCGAUACUGUGAGGUGGAGCUAAUCC